UACGGGGGGGGCAAGCGUUGUUCGGAAUUACUGGGCGUAAAGGGUUUGUAGGUGGCUCGCUAAGUCAGACGUGAAAUCCCUCAGCUUAACUGGGGAACUGCGUCUGAGACUGGUGAGCUUGAGUGCAGGAGAGGAACGCGGAAUUCCAGGUGUAGCGGUGAAAUGCGUAGAUAUCUGGAGGAACACCGGUGGCGAAGGCGGCGUUCUGGACUGCAACUGACACUGAUGAACGAAAGCCAGGGGAGCAAACGGG
rnacentral:rRNA from 1 species